GGACUAUUACUAAACGGCCGCGGAAUUAUAACCGUGCUAAGGUAGCAUAAUCAUUUGUCCUUUAAUUAAGGACUUGUAUGAACGGCUAAACGAAGUUAAGCUGUCUUUUCUAUAAACCCUAUAAAUUAUUCUUAAAGUAAAAAAUCUUUAAUACAUUGAAAAGACAAAAAGACCCUAUAGAGUUUUACUUAUUAAUAUAGAUCUAACACUAUAAAAUAAGUUUAGUUGGGGCAACUUAAAGAAAUAGAAAUUCUUCAAAAAAUUAUAUAUAUAUUUAAUCAUUUUUUAAAUAAGACAAAAUAAAUUACCUUAGGGGUAACAGCAUAAAUUUCUUUGAGAGCCCAAAUCGAAAAGAAAAAUUAU
rnacentral:rRNA from 1 species